UGGCGGCCUUAGCGCGGUGGUCCCACCUGACCCCAUGCCGAACUCAGAAGUGAAACGCCGUAGCGCCGAUGGUAGUGUGGGGUCUCCCCAUGCGAG
rnacentral:rRNA from 1 species